rnacentral:rRNA from 1 species
UACAGAGGUCUCAAGCGUUGUUCGGAUUCAUUGGGCGUAAAGGGUGUGUAGGUGGCGCGCUAAGUCGGGUGUGAAAUUUCGGAGCUUAACUCCGAAACUGCAUUCGAUACUGGCGUGCUUGAGGACUGGAGAGGAGACUGGAAUUCAUGGUGUAACAGUGAAAUGCGUAGAGAUCAUGAGGAAGACCAGUGGCGAAGGCGGGUCUCUGGACAGUUCCUGACACUGAGACACGGAAGGCCAGGGGAGCAAACGGG